ACUGGUGAGUACAAGGUGACUAACGCACCCAUGAGUGGGGGAUAACCUCGGGAAACCGGGGCUAAUACCGCAUGGUCUCGUUGGGGCUUCGGCUUCGGCGAGUAAAGCAGAAAUGCGCUCGAGGAUCGGGUCACCUCCCAUUAGCUAGUUGGUAGGGUAAAAGCCUACCAAGGCAACGAUGGGUAGCUGGUCUGAGAGGAUGGUCAGCCACACUGGGACUGAGAUACGGCCCAGACUCCUACGGGGGGCAGCAGUCUAGAGGCUUCGUCAAUGGGGGCAACCCUGAACGAGCGACGCCGCGUGCGGGAUGAAGGGCUUCGGCUUGUAAACCGCUUUUGUUCGGGAAGAAGAUCCGGCUCGUGCAGUCGGGUUCGACGGUACCGGACGAAUAAGCCCCGGCUAACUCCGUGCCAGCAGCCGCGGUAAUACGAAGGGGGCUAGCGUUGCUCGGAAUCACUGGGCGUAAAGGGCGCGUAGGCGGCUGAUUUAGUCGAGGGUGAAAGCCCGUGGCUCAACCACGGAAUGGCCUUCGAUACUGGUUGGCUUGAGACCGGAAGAGGACAGCGGAACUGCGAGUGUA
rnacentral:rRNA from 1 species